rnacentral:lncRNA from 1 species
CCUGUACCCACUUCAACGACCUGUUCCCCAAGAUACCUCAGGCCCUCUAGCUACCCGUUCACCAGAUACAAACAAGGGAUAUGAUAAAUUCAUUCACAUUUCGGUGGUUUCAAUUUCAAGAAAUUUGCUUCUCCCCAGACGGCGUGCAUUUGCACAAAAACAUUGAAGCAAGAAAGUAAUGUUGUGUAACUCAAAAAAGUAAGUCACAGGCUGGGCGCGGUGGCUCACGCCUGUAAUCCCAGCACUUUGGGAGGCCGAGGCGGGUGGAUCACGAGGUCAAGAGAUCGAGACCAUCCUGGCCAACAUGGUGAAACCCCGUCUCUACUAAAAAUACAAAAAGUAGCUGGGCGUGGUGCCGCGUGCCUGUAGUCCCAGCUACUCAGGAGGCUGAGGCAGGAUAAUCGCUUGAAUCCGGGAGGUGGAGGUUGCAGUGAGCCGAGAUCGCGCCACUGCACUCCAGCCUGGCGACAGAGCAAGACUGCGUCUCAAAAAAAAAAAAAAAAAAAAGGCUGGAGUGCAACGGCACAAUCUCGGCUCACCGCAACCUCCGCCUCCCGGGUUCAAGCGAUUCUGCUGCCUCAGCCUCCUGAGUAGCUGGGAUUACAGGCAUGUGCCACCACGCCCGGCUAAUUUUGUAUUUUUAGUACAGAUAGGGUUUCUCCAUAUUGGUCAGGCUGGUCUCGAACUCCCAACCUCAGGUGAUCCGCAUGCCUCAGCCUCCCAAAGUUCUGGGAUUACAGGCAUGAGCCACCGCACCCGGCCAUUUGUAUGUAAUUUUCUAUAUUUAUUGAAAUGCAUUUUAAGUAAUAUGAAAGCAUUUUUCUCCUUACAAUGGAAAAACCAACUUGAUUUUACAUUUAUUUAUAUAACCUGACUUAAUUCUAUGUAAGUCAAGUGAAAAAGGAAACAACUGCUCUGUGGAAUCAACCUGAAGAUGUCUAAUUUUUCCUCUGAUGCCACCAGACUUAAAGCAGUUCACGAUCCUCUCUACAAAGAAGUAUAUUUAGGUUCUCCCUCUCCCUCUCCCUCUCCCUCUCCCCACGGUCUCCCUCUGAUGCCGAGCCGAAGCUGGACUGUACUGCUGCCAUCUCGGCUCACUGCAGCCUCCCUGCCUGAUUCUCCUGCCUCAGCCUGCCCAGUGCCUGCGAUUGCAGGUGCGCGCCGCCACGCCUGACUGGUUUUCGUAUUUUUUUGGUGGAGACGGGGUUUCGCUGUGUUGGCCAGGCUGGUCUCCAGCUCCUAACCGCGAGUGAUCCGCCAGCCUUGGCCUCCCGAGGUGCCAGGAUGGCAGACGGAGUCGCGUUCACUCAGUGCUCAAUGGUGCCCAGGCUGGAGUGCAGUGGCAUGAUCUCGGCUCGCUACAACCUCCACCUCCCAGCUGCCUGCCUUGGCCCCCCAAAGUGCCGAGAUUGCAGCCUCUGCCUGGCCACCACCCCGUCUGGGAAGUGAGGAGCGUCUCUGCCUGGCCGCCCAUCGUCUGGGAUGUGAGGAGCCUCUCUGACUGGCUGCCCAGUCUGGAAAGUGAGGAGCGUCUCUGCCCGGCCGCCAUCCCAUCUAGGAAGUGAGGAGCGUCUCUGCCAGGCCGCCCAUCGUCUGAGAUGUGGGGAGCGCCUCUGCCCUGCCGCCCCGUCUGGGAUGUGAGGAGCGUCUCUGCCCGGCUGACCCGUCUGAGAAGUGAGGAGACCCUCUGCCUGGCAACCGCCCCGUCUGAGAACCCAAAGACUAGAAUUCCAUUUCUAAACCCAGCCCAGCAGCCGGAAGUCAUGAAGCAGUCAACCUGCCUGGACAUCCAGCUACGCUCUGCUGCGCCAUUCUAUCCACCCAUCAAGACUCCCCUCCCUUCUACUGUAUGUCACCAUAAGUUUUCGUGCCUGUUCUGCAUGCUCAAUUGAACUUCCCUCUAUCAGGUCACUCAAGCCAUUCUCCUGUUCCCACUCUAACCUGCUUUGGAAUCUAUGGCUGCCUAAUGACACUUACAAACAAGUACAUUCAAGGUCAAACAUCCUCAGGUCAAAUUCGUGGCAAGAGGGAUGAUCUUUUAAACCUACAUUUUUGGGCCGGGUGAGGUGGAUCACACCUGUAAUCCCAGCACUUUGGGAGACUGAGGGGGCAGAUCACCUGAGAUCAGGAGUUUGAGACCAGCCUGGCCCACAUGGCAAAAUCCCAUCUCUACUAAAAAUGUUUAAAAAAAAAAAAUAGCCAGGCUUGGUGGCACACACCUGUAGUCCCAACUACUCAAGAGGCUGAGACCGGAGAAUCGCUUGAACCUGGAAGGCAGAGGUUGCAGUGGACCGAGAUCGCACCACUGCACUCCAGCCUGGGCAACAGAGCAAGACUCCAUCUCAGGGAGGGAAAAAAAAACUUACAUUCCCUCCACCUCUCCCUCUCUUUGUUUUAAUGAAGCAUCAGUAACUUCAGCUGUUAUGAUAAAUUGAAAUAGCUGCAAAUCAGCAAAACUCAUGUUUGAUGGGUUAUCUUCUAUCAAAGAGUGAGAGAUGCCUUGCCCUGAUCAUUCCUAUUGCUAACAUAAAUUCCAUUGAGUUCUUAGGCCUAAGAGGAAAGAAAGUAAAGAGAAGAAGAAUGGACUGCACAAUGAAGCUAUCAGAUCAGCCCACGUUGGGAUGGGGUCAAUAGAUGCAAAAUGAACACCAUUCUUCAAAGUAAUCAUCUAACAGCAUGGUAAACAUCUACUGACCCCUUAGCAAUAACAACUGAUUUAACACAUUCCGAUGGUUCUAUUUGGCAGGGAGGAAUGGGAGACAUUUAUCUCUUCGGGAUGGAUAAUUGCACUUGGCUGUUCUUUCCUUUCCAUUCUCAUUGUCACUAACCUGAUCCAGAACCUUAGCACUACCCACCUAAGGAAUGUUGCAGCAGCCCAGGAUGACUGCUGGCUAUGUGCUUUCCCAUUCUAAUGCACCCUACUCUAUCCUAGGAUAACCCUCCUAAAAGCCAACUGGGAUUGAAUUACUCCUCUGCCAAGAACCCUCUGCUGCACCUUAUCCAAGGCCCACCAUAAAAUGAUGCCAGCCCACCUCACCCAAAACCUCUUCCAGAAAGUCCCAGCUCCACCCUGGUUCUCUCCUCCACAGAUGUCAGACCUGUAUGUGGUCUGAUGGCUCUCUCAGCCUCCUUCAUUCUCUCCCCAUUUCUGCCACAUUUUCCCCAAUAAAUCUUGUGUGUGUCUAAUUCCAUUUUGGUGUCUGCAUCUCAGAUGAUCUGAACUAACACAAAUGGAGAGUGAAAAACAAAAAAAAAAGUCUGGCCACAUUUAUAAAUUCAUCCCAGGCUGCAAAGAGUUAGACAGCACUUCCCCAAAGAAAACUGUCACGUAAAACAUUCAAAGAUUCUCAGUUUAGCCAUCAUCUAGCCAGUUCUUCCCACUGAUCACAUUUUCCCAAUUUAUAGAUAGGAAUACUGAGCCUCAAGAGGUUAAGUAAAUCGCCUGAAGAUUAUACAGCUAGUAAAUGAUGAAAUCAGGGCUCUUGACUCAAAGUCCCAGUGUCAUCCAACUACACUUGAGUGGGCUUGAAACGAAUCCUAAGAGUUUUGUAAAUGGUAUAUCAUUAUCUAACAUAAGGUACUAUGAACCACUGCCAUCAUCAUCCUCAUUUCUCUCUGAGGAUCUUUGCAGUAAAGUGAAGGUAGUAGUAGAUCUGUCAUACUGAAUGUUGAAGUCAGAAUAAUGGCUCCCCAAAGAUGCCCAAACCCUAACCCCAAACCCUGUGAUUAUAUAACCUUACAUAGCAAAAUGGACUUUGCAGAUGUGAUUAAGUUUAGGAUUCUGAGAUAGAGAGAUGACCCUGGAUUAUUCCAGGGUCCCAGUGUAGUCACAAGUGUCCUUAUGAGAGGAAAGCAGGAGCACCAGAGUCAAAAGAGAUACAAGGCUAGAGGGUGAGAGGGAGCCCUGAAGAUGCCACUCUGCUGCUUUGAAGAUAGAAGGGGCUACAAGCCAAGGAACACAGGCAGCCUCUAAAAGCUGGAAAAGUUGCUGGGCGUGGUGGCUCAUGCCUGUAAUCCCAGCACUUUGGGAGGCCAAGGCGGGUGGAUCACG